rnacentral:rRNA from 1 species
UGUGCGAUGAGAGGCGCGCACAGCUCAAAUUUAAUAACUGGCCUUUGGCCCGAGUUGUAAUUUGUAGAAGGUGCUUCGGGCGAGGCCACGGUCCAAGUCCCUUGGAACAGGGUGUCGCAGAGGGUGAGAAUCCCGUACGCGGCCGAUGACCAAGCCCGUGUGAAGCCCUUUCGACGAGUCGAGUUGUUUGGGAAUGCAGCUCCAAAUGGGUGGUAAAUUUCAUCUAAAGCUAAAUAUCUGUCAGAGACCGAUAGCGCACAAGUAGAGUGAUCGAAAGAUGAAAAGCACUUUGAAAAGAGAGUCAAACAGUACGUGAAAUUGUUGAAAGGGAAGCGCUUGCAACGAGACUCGUUCGCGGGUGUUCAGCCGUCCCUCGGGGCGGUGCACUCUCCCGCGUUCGGGCCAGCAUCGGUUUCGGCGGCCGGAUAAAGGCCCUGGGAACGUAGCUCUUUUCGGAGAGUGUUAUAGCCCGGGGUGUAAUGCGUCCAGCCGGGACCGAGGAUCGCGCGUUCGCUAGGAUGCUGGCGUAAUCGUUGUCAGCGACCCGUCUUGAAACACGGACCAAGGAGUCGACCAAUCCGGCAAGUUUUAGGGCGUGAACCCCUGAAGCGCAAUGAAAGUGAAUGUAGGUGGGAGCCUUCGGGUGCACCAUCGACCGAUCCUGAUGUUUUCGGAUGGAUUUGAGUAUGAGCCCGGCUGGUCGGACCCGAAAGGUAUUUUUAUCCCUUGACUUUGACAGAAGGUGUUACUAACUUUUUAGAUGGUGAACUAUGCGUGAAUAGGGUGAAGCCAGAGGAAACUCUGGUGGAGGCUCGCAGCGGUUCUGACGUGCAAAUCGAUCGUCAAAUUUGCGCAUAGGGGCGAAAGACUAAUCGAACUAUCUAGUAGCUGGUUCCCGCCGAAGUUUCCCUCAGGAUAGCAGCAACGAAAACAGUCUCAUGAGGUAGAGCAAACGAUUAGAGGUCUUGGGGUUGUAUUCGACCUUAACCUAUUCUCGAACUUCGAAUAUGUGAGAAGUCCUUGUUACUUAAUUGAACGUGGACAUUUGGAUGUAUCGUGCUAGUGGCCAUUUUUGUAAGCAGAACUGCGCGA